GACUCGCUUUAGCUCAGUUGGUAGAGCAGCUGCCCCAUGUGUUGAGGCUGCAGGUUCAAAUCCCGCAUCGUGCCA